AGUUAGCGGCAAAUUCGUACACCUGCCGACGGACGCUUCUGAAAACACUGUGCGAAACGAACGCAGGAGCAGCGGAGAGAAAAUAGGAUAUGAAGUUGUAAGUGUCAGAGAAGUGGAAUUCGGAAAACCACAUCACCUAGAGAGACUUUUUUUUUUUUUUUUUUACAAAAGUGAGCUUGCUAGCAUUAGCAAAGACACUGGACAGGACGAGGCUAACGUCGGAGAGGAGGAGGACAGUGACACUAAUCAGACCUGGCUGUACUCUGGACGUGUCCGUCCACUGUCAUCGUUCACAGUAAUGGGAUGACAGGGAAAAAGACUGGAGGAAGGAAGACGGAAAGAUGUGGGGAGAGAGAGGGGAAGAUGAGCGCUGCAGCAAAGUCAGGAAACAGAAAGAGAAAGAGAACGACAAGAGGCUGUAGGAUAUGUGCACACAUCUCCCUCACAGGAGAUGGGAAAACAAGCAAAAAUCCGAACAAAGUCUUUGACGCGCUGGAACUGAGUCCCGUGCGCUCAGCGGGCUCGGAGUCGCCCCCUGUGGCCGCCUCGGGUCAAAGUGUUUGCAACUGGAGGUGCAGUUGUACAUGGAUGGAAAUGUACAAGGGGUUUGUAUAUUUCAUAUAUAACCCUCUGGCAAA